rnacentral:rRNA from 1 species
GAUGAACGCUGGCGGCGUGCUUAACACAUGCAAGUCGAACGAAGCACUUUUACAGAUUUCUUCGGAAUGAAGUUUUAGUGACUGAGUGGCGGACGGGUGAGUAACGCGUGGGUAACCUGCCUCACACAGGGGGAUAACAGUUGGAAACGACUGCUAAUACCGCAUAAGCGCACAGUACCGCAUGGUACGGUGUGAAAAACUCCGGUGGUGUGAGAUGGACCCGCGUCUGAUUAGCUAGUUGGCAGGGCAACGGCCUACCAAGGCGACGAUCAGUAGCCGACCUGAGAGGGUGACCGGCCACAUUGGGACUGAGACACGGCCCAAACUCCUAUGGGAGGCAGCAGUGGGGAAUAUUGCACAAUGGGGGAAACCCUGAUGCAGCGACGCCGCGUGAGCGAAGAAGUAUUUCGGUAUGUAAAGCUCUAUCAGCAGGGAAGAAGAAAUGACGGUACCUGACUAAGAAGCACCGGCUAAAUACGUGCCAGCAGCCGCGGUAA